UGUAUGCAUAGAUUUCUCCUCUUCCACUACCGACCCGAGCCAUCCCAUCCGCCCCGCAUCCUUGCAUCGGACCUCAUAAGUUUGAACCAACAAUCAGCUGCGGGGCCACCACCUCCUGAGGUCAUACUCCUACGCUGUAGCCUGGGUAGUGGUCUCAACAUCCACGGGAUUGUCACAGUUGAUUCAACUAUGGUAAGUUGCCAGGCUAGGCAAUCAUUCAACCUCUUUUUUUACUUCACAUCACAGUUUCAUCUCUUACCUCUUCAUUUUCAGGUGCCUGAAAUUAGCAACUCAGCUGUGGAGCUCAAUGGGGUUCUCCUAAAUCAUGCUUUAGUUACAUUUCGUGAGCUACUUCUAAAAUGCGCUCAGCACUACUCAUGGUAUGUAUUAAGGGCAAUUUAUGUAACAAAGGGAAGCAAAUUGCUUCCUCCAUCUUUUGCCUCAAUUUUUUAUGACUCUGCUUCAUCUGUUCUUGAUGUCUUCUUCGACCCUUCUGAUGGAUCGCUCAACGUCCCUGGCCUUACCAUAGGCAUGUUUAAAUUUAUAAGCAAGAACAUGAAGUCGGGUGGUUUUUCUGGAACAAAACGGUACCUUGGUGAUCUCGGGAAAACUGUUAAAACUGCAAGUUCGAACGCUCUCUUUGCUGCUGUCACAGAAAUUUCAGAUAGUGUUGUUAGAGGAGCGGAAACAAAUGGUUUGAAUGGCAUGGUUACUGGUUUCCCAACACUGUUUUUUUGCUAUUUUUGCAUGCAGAUGCUCGAGGAGGAUGUGGCAGUUCCAGUCUCAUCUGCUAAUGAAGCUCCAAAGGAUACUACAAAGAUGGACACAGAUGAUGCACCAAGUGAUCCUGUCUCUGGAACUGAUGUGAAUGUGCAUGAGCCUGAUACUACUGAGGCUGCUCCUGCAGCUGAAAAUGGAGCAGAAAAUCCCGAGGAAAAAUCUGUUCCAAUGGAAACUGAUGCAAAGGUUGAGCCAUCAGAAAGGAAAGUUAAGAGAACUUCUGUUCCGGUCCAUGCAUUGGUCUAUGGUGCCUUGGCUGUAGCUGACCUGCAGAAGGCUGUAGAGAAAGAGUAUGAGAUGGCUCUUCAGGACAGAGUAAUGGAAGAAACCAAAGAGAAGAAAAAUGUUGUGGAAGCUUAUGUCUAUGACAUGCGUAACAAGCUCUACGAUAGAUACAACGAUUUUGUGACACCUGAGGAGAAGGAAGGGUUGAUUGGAAAGCUUCGGGAGGUUGAAGAUUGGCUGUAUGAAGAUGGUGAGGAUGAGACAAAGGGAGUCUAUAUUUCUAAACUGGAAGAUCUUAAGAAGAUUGGUGACCCAAUUGAGGCACGGUACAAGGAGUCAACAGAAAGGGGUUCCUCUGUAGAUCAACUGGUCUACUGCAUCAACAGUUUCAGAGAGGCUGCUUUGUCCAGUGACCAAAAGUUUGGCCAUAUCGACAUAUCUGAGAAACAGAAGGUAGGGCAGAGUGCCAUUUAGUAAUCUUCAGUUUCAGUA